GCGCGGUUAGCUCAGUCGGUAGAGCGUUGGCCCGUACAGCUAGAGGUCACAGGUUCGAGUCCUGUACCGCGUA
rnacentral:tRNA from 1 species